UGUGUCUUGGCCCCGAGCACUGCUUUGCUCCUGGGACCCUAGCCAUUACCGUGUACCUCAGCUCUGAUCACAGGAUCCGUCUGUUAUUCUCCUUCCAUCUGAGUUUCUGUUCUGAAGAACUAUACUAAGAGCCCCCAGGCCCAAGGUCCUUCCCUGGUUUUGCCAUUGCCCCACAGGAAGUGGAGGAAGCACUGCUCUUAAAGCUCAGCCCCUGGGCUGGGGCUCCUACGCGGCUACCCGGUUCCUGCGUUCCUGCUCUGCUCCAGGUUCCUGACUGGGACUUAACUUCCCGGAUACGGACCACUGUACCAGAUUGCGCUUUUGGUCGACUGCCACGUCCUCCGGAUUCCAUGCUUCACCCGCUGGGCUGGACUUCCUACUACCUGCUUCAGCUCAAGCUGCUGCCCCAAUGCCCGGCUUUGCUCAGUUAUGAUCCAAUGGGCUUCCAAGGGAGACUGCGGUAUAGCAGACAAGUGUUUGAGAUGCAGACUUGAAGAUCUGUGCUUGGAUUCUGGCUGAGUCGUCUCUGAACGACUAGUGUUAGGCAAGCGCAACUUCUCUGGAGGACUAAUUCUUCCUAAGUCAGAACAAGAUAACUAGGCUGGAGGAAUGCAUGAAGUAAUUCAGUGUUUAUAAACUUUCCUCAACCUUAUUCUGACAAAGUUCCAUCUAGUUAAAGCUAUGGUUUUUCUAGUAGUAUGGAUGUAAGAGUUGGACCAUAAAGAAAGCUAAGUGCUGAAGAACUGAUGCUUUUAAACUGUGGUGUUGAAACUUUUGAGAGUUCCCUGGACUGCAAGGAGAUCCAACCAGUCCAUCCUAAAGGAAAUCAGUCCUGAAUGUUCAUUGGAAAGACUGAUGCUGAAUCUGAAACUCCAAUCCUUUGGCCACCUGAUGCAAAGAACUGACUCACUGGAAAAGACCCGAUGCUGGGAAAGAUUGAAGGCAGGAGGAGAAGGGGAGGACAGAGGAUGAGAUGGUUGGAUAGCAUCACCGACUCGAUGGAUAUGAGUUUGAGCAAGCUCGGGGAGUUGGUGAUGGACAGGGAGGCCUGGCAUGCUGCAGUCCAUGGGGUCACAAGGAGUUGGACACGACUGAGCGACUGAACUGAACUGAUUCUGCAUCCAGU
rnacentral:lncRNA from 1 species